GUAUGCUUUAGGAGGGGCUUGCGCCAUAUUAGUUAGUUGGUAGGGUAAUGGCCUACCAAGACGAUGAUGUGUAGCUGGACUGAGAGGUUGAACAGCCACAUUGGGACUGAGACACGGCCCAAACUCCUACGGGAGGCAGCAGUAGGGAAUUUUCGGCAAUGGAGGAAACUCUGACCGAGCAACGCCGCGUGAAUGACGAAGUACUUCGGUAUGUAAAGUUCUUUUAUCAAGGAAGAAAAGCAAAUGGCGAACCAUUUGUUUGCCGGUACUUGAUGAAUAAGCCCCGGCUAAUUAUGUGCCAGCAGCCGCGGUAAGACAUAAGGGGCAAGUGUUAUCCGGAAUUAUUGGGCGUAAAGGGUGCGUAGGCGGUCUAGUAAGUCAGUGGUGUAAUGGCAACGCUUAACGUUGUCCGGCUAUUGAAACUGCUAAACUUGAGUUAGAUAGAGGCGAGUGGAAUUCCAUGUGUAGCGGUAAAAUGCGUAAAUAUAUGGAGGAACACCAGAGGCGUAGGCGGCUCGCUGGGUCUUAACUGACGCUGAGGCACGAAAGCGUGGGGAGCAAACAGGAUUAGAUACCCUGGUAGUCCACGCCGUAAACGAUGAGUACUAAGUGUCGGGUUAAACCGGUACUGAAGUUAACACAUUAAGUACUCCGCCUGAGUAGUACGUACGCAAGUAUGAAACUUAAAGGAAUUGACGGGACUCCGCACAAGCGGUGGAUCAUGUUGUUUAAUUCGAAGAUACCCGAAAAACCUUACCAGGUCUUGACAUGUUUUUGCAAAAUGAUAGUAAUAUCGUGGAGGUUACCAGAAACACAGGUGGUGCAUGGUUGUCGUCAGCUCGUGUCGUGAGAUGUUAGGUUAAGUCCUAAAACGAGCGAAACCCUUAUCGUUAGUUGCCAGCACGUUAUGGUGGGGACUUUAACGAGACUGCCAAUGAUAAAUUGGAGGAAGGUGAGGAUCACGUCAAAUCAGCAUGCCCCUUAUGACCUGGGCUACAAACGUGAUACAAUGGCUGUUACAAAGGGUAGCUGAAACGCAAGUUCUUGGCCAAUCCCCAAAAACAGUCCCAGUCCGGAUUGAAGUCUGCAACUCGACUUCAUGAAGUUGGAAUCGCUAGUAAUCCGAUCACAUGCCGGACUU
rnacentral:rRNA from 1 species